rnacentral:lncRNA from 1 species
CUUAAGGACAAGCAACAAGCAGAGAAGCUGUGAUUAGAAUUGCUAUGUUUAUUAAACUGAGGAGAUAACGUAAAUUGAUUCCUCUCUCUAACUCUUGCUAAUCAGGCGCUACUUCUCUGGAAUUAUGGCAAGAGUUGAGACUAAAUAAAACAAAGGGACAAUUGGAACUAGCCUUCACAAUCUUGGAGACAGUAAAAUUCCUUUGAAGGCUAAAAGACCAUUUUUGUCAUUGGAGAUGUUUACUGAUUAUAUUCACAAAUCCUUCAUCAAGACUUCUUUCUUAAGAAGCCUCCUUCAGAAGAGAAAUUCUCUAAGCAUUAAAAACUAUCACAGACACAUGAAUAUUAUAUGAGUAUUUCAAAGCAAAUUUGGAUUAAAAUUCAUCAAAUUCAUGACAUACAUGGAGUUCCCUGAAGCAUUAUUUCAUAUUUCUGGAUUUUCAAAGUGAUUACAUAUUAAAGUAUGUAUGUAUACAAGCAUGUAAGUUACCUAGAGUUUUUGCAUCAUACCGAAGAUGUAUUAGCAGAGGAAUUUAAUAAAAUAUGCACAGCAAUGCUUAAAUAAUCUUAAGCACAAGCAAAUGUUAUCUUCAAAUUUUAUCAUAAGUGUUUUAUAUAUAUACACAAAUAAGGUAGAAAACUAUUUUAAUAUGUAAACUAUGUCCUAGAAAAUAUAUCACUUGUGUAUUUAAAUAGUAUAUAUUAGCAGCUCCUGUGGAUUUACUGUGAUUUACAGUGGGGAGCCUGUAGAUGGUAUAUGAAAGACGUUUGGAUGUGUUUUUUUUUUCCUCCUCCACAUUUAAAUGUUAAAACUUCAAUAACUUUUGCAUAAUUUUAUACUGUUCUUGCACGUAUUAAUAUUAAUAUUUGAUUUUUAAAGAGAGUCAUGUUGUUGUCAUCGACUAGCUUGGAUGAUAUACUUAAGAAAGAGAAUAACAUAAAUGUCUGUCUUAGCUCAGGUUGCCACAGCAAAGUACUACAAUAUGGGUAGCUUAAACAAUUGAAAUUUAUUUUCUCAUAGUUUUGGAAGCUGGAAAUCCGAUCUUGCAGUGCCAUUUCUGUGAGGGCUGUCUUUCCAGCUUGUAUAUGUCCAUCUUCUUGUUACAUCCUUAUAUGGCGUUUUCACAAUCUUCACACAGAGAGAACAAGCCAGCCCUCUGAUAUCUUUUCUUUAAAGGACACUAAUUCCAUUGGAUCUGGAUUUAUGCCCCUCACCCCCAUCUCCUCUUAUAACCUCAUUUAAUCUUAAUUAUUUCCUUAGAGGCCUCGUCUCCAAAAUUACCACACUGAGGGCCAAGACUUCAACAUAUGGUGGAGAGCAGGAGGUGAGGACACAAACAUUCAGUCUUUAUUAAUGACAGAGCAUAUAAUUUUGAUUAUGAUUAUGAUACUGGUUACAUAGGAGUCAUGUUGUAAAAGCUCAGAUUAUCUGUGGAACUUGCACAAAAUGGAUAUUGUAUAGGUUUCCUUGGCAAUUUCAUUGAAGUUGUAGGUAUGAUGAUGAACUGCUAUUUAAAUACUUCUAUGAUCACUGAAAAUAUAUAUUAUAUAUUACAUAUAGUAUGACUGACAGCAUUUUCUAUUUGGAUAAUUACUAC